rnacentral:lncRNA from 1 species
AACCUCAUAACUUUCAACUUUGAUCAUUACUUUCCAAAGUUUGAUUAGUUUAUGAAUUAAUUGCCUUAAAAACAUCAUCAUUUUACAACAUGAUGGGGUUGGUUUUUUUCUAGCCUUAUCUUGAUUUUUCCAAAUUUUGAAUACGUUACAUUUUGAUGAUAAUUUUAUUCAUUUUGUAUUUCAAUGUUAAUUUCAGCAAGUCAAUUUGGCUGAAGGUGGUAUCUUGAUCGGAUCAAAAAAGGAUUUUUGCUGAAUUUUUAUUAGGUUUUUAUCCUAAGAAACCUAAUAGAAAUUCAGCAUUUCUCUUGUUGAAAACAAAGGUGCAAACCCCAUUUUGUAAAAGCUCAAAAAUUGCAAUAUUG